rnacentral:rRNA from 1 species
CCUACGGGAGGCAGCAGUAGGGAAUAUUCCUCAAUGGGGGAAACCCUGAAGCAGCAACGCCGCGUGGAGGAUGAAGGUUUUCGGAUUGUAAACUCCUUUUGUUAGAGAAGAUAAUGACGGUAUCUAACGAAUAAGCACCGGCUAACUCCGUGCCAGCAGCCGCGGUAAUACGGAGGGUGCAAGCGUUCCUCGGAAUCACUGGGCGUAACGGGCGCGUAGGCGGUAUAGCAAGUCAGAUGUGAAAGCCUAUGGCUUAACCAUAGAACUGCAUUUGAAACUGUUAGUCUAGAGUAUGGGAGGGGUAGGUGGAAUGCUUGGUGUAGGGGUAAAAGCGGUAGAGAUCAAGAGGAAUACUCAUUGCGAAGGCGACCUGCUAGAACAUAACUGACGCUGAUGCACGAAAGCGUGGGGAGCAAACAGGAUUAGAUACCCGUGUAGUC